rnacentral:rRNA from 1 species
GCCCGGGGCUUAACCCCGGGUCUGCAGUCGAUACGGGCAGGCUAGAGUUCGGUAGGGGAGAUCGGAAUUCCUGGUGUAGCGGUGAAUGCGCAGAUAUCAGGAGGAACACCGGUGGCGAAGGCGGAUCUCUGGGCCGAUACUGACGCUGAGGAGCGAAAGCGUGGGGAGCGAACAGGAUUAGAUACCCUGGUAGUCCACGCCGUAAACGGUGGGCACUAGGUGUGGGCACAUUCCACGUUGUCCGUGCCGCAGCUACGCAUUAGUGCCCCGCCGGGGAGUACGGCCGCAAGGCUAAAACUCAAAGGAAUUGACGGGGGCCCGCACAAGCGGCGGAGCAUGUGGCUUAAUUCGACGCACGCGAAGAACCUUACCAGGCUUGACAUACCCGGAACGUCCAGAGGUGGGCGCCCCCUGUGGUCGGUGUACGGUGUGCAGGCGCUGUCGUCAGCUCGUGUCGUGAGAUGUUGGGUUAAGUCCCGCAACGAGCGCAACCCUUGUCCCGUGUUGCCAGCAGGCCCUUGUGGUGCUGGGGACUCACGGGAGACCGCCGGGGUCAACUCGGAGGAAGGUGGGGACGACGUCAAGUCAUCAUGCGGCUUAUGUCUUGGGCUGCACACGUGCUACAAUGGCCGGUACAAUGAGCUGCGAUACCGCAAGGUGGAGCGAAUCUCAAAAAGCCGGUCUCAGUUCGGAUAGGGGUCUGCAACUCGACCCCAUGAAGUCGGAGUCGCUAGUAAUCGCAGAUCAGCAUUGCUGCGGUGAA